rnacentral:misc_RNA from 1 species
AAUGCCCUCUGAUUUCGGUCAGCUGGGUUCAAUGUGUGCCAUCUCUUCGGAGGUGGCCAUCCACACACACCGUGAACUGUGGCUUCGGCCAUCACAAACUAUUAGUAAUGAAUGUAAAAAUCAUAACAAAAUAAAACUUUUAACAACGGAUCUCUUGGCUCU